UACGGAGGGUGCAAGCGUUAUCCGGAUUCACUGGGUUUAAAGGGUGCGUAGGCGGGCAGGUAAGUCAGUGGUGAAAUCUCCGAGCUUAACUCGGAAACUGCCAUUGAUACUAUUUGUCUUGAAUAUUGUGGAGGUAAGCGGAAUAUGUCAUGUAGCGGUGAAAUGCUUAGAUAUGACAUAGAACACCAAUUGCGAAGGCAGCUUACUACACAAUGAUUGACACUGAGGCACGAAAGCGUGGGGAUCAAACAGG
rnacentral:rRNA from 1 species